rfam:Gossypium hirsutum cultivar TM-1 chromosome 19, whole genome shotgun sequence
UGUUAAAAAUUUCAUCCAUUUUUACAGUUAAAAAUUGGCAUGACUAACAAAAUAACCAAACAGUUACGCAUGAAAUGUCACGUGUACUUCAUUUGGACGUACAAAGACCAAUUUUUAACAAUAGAUAUGGAUGAAAUAUUUAACA